ACUGUUGAGUGGCGGUUGCUGUUGUUGCUGCCCGCUCGCUGCCUGCUCUCGGCGGGCUGUUGUUGGAAUAUUGUUGACUGCCUGCUGUUGGGGUUCGUUGCCGUUGGUUGUGUUAUCAUUUCAGUUGCUGGCUGACUGGCUGCAUGGCUUGUCGGUUGCACGCGCAGCUCCGGGACUCCACCGAUUAUUGGGUGUGUGUGUGUCUGGCCCGAGUCUGGGGCGGCGACAGCGGCAACGACAACGUCGGCGAUUGUAAUCGGUUUCAGUUCAUUUUCAUUUAAAUGGAAUUAAAUAUGGUAAAUGAUGAAAUCAAGCUGAACAGCAGGCGUUUCCCCACUUCAUCCCAACACCGUUCUCCUAAUGUCCCUGCCGUGGUGAGUUGUUGAUGGUGAAGGUAAGUGAAAAAGCGAGUCAACGAGACGACAACGGCACAACUACAACAAUGCUAAUACUCUGGCGAGAGACCAUGACGGGCAGCGCGUGUAAAGAAAGCAAGAAUCGUAAUCUAUAAAAUAAAUAAAUAAUUUGAAAUGUACACACGGCGCAAAACCAAAACUCAGCCACAAAAAAAAGAGGAAAAUAAAAUAUAAAAAAAUAUAUUUAAAUGGCUGUCUGUGUACAACGGCAGUAAUAAAAUCUCAUCGAAAUCGAGAUUCGAUAUUCGAGGGAAAGAACAGGCGCACAGCAACUAGCAGACCGACAACGGCGACGCUUCACAGCGAAGAGAGCGCGAGUAAAAAUCGAUAAACUUGCAGCUGAUAAGUAGCAAGAAGAAAACAACUUAAAACGGCACCAGAGACAAAGGCAAAAG